GGGGUGGUUGCGGGGGAGGUUCUAAAUCGACCGUUUUCACUGCCUCAUGUGAACCAUUCAAGGCCCGAAUGUCGGAUUUUCCUAUUGCUGAACGUGAACCAAUUCUGCUUGAAGCGCCAAAAUAAAGCAGGGAUUAUACAACAGGGGAGAUGCCUGAAGAGUGGUAGGUCCUGUACAUGAGAAACUUGAGUCAGGAAGCCUUGAAGUUAAAUGAAGUUUAUCCAUCAAUAGAUCCAUCUGUCAAUAAAUAGAACUUUAACCAUUUUUUCAAAAAGGUAACAAGCCAUCUUUGGCCUGCACCCUCUGGAGUACAUUCUGAAGCACUGGAACUCCUUUGACCUUGAGACUUUGAAGAAAAAGUGGCUCAUUUGAUGGAAAUCUUGGAAAUAAACGGACCUGGCCGGCUGAAGGAGCCUUGGUUUUAAUCUUAUCCAACAAUUAGAUCUUGUUUGUAGAUGGGAGGGCAAGUGGCCCAAGCUCCUCUAUGUACAGGCUUUCUUUGCCCUGCGAGACAACUCAGACCUUUGCAAGCAUUGCAUAAUCGACUAAGCCCUCUUGGUAGCCAUACUGGGCAAGUCUGUAGCAAGUAGUUCCCCUAAGUCAAAAAAGCAA